CCUACGGGAGGCAGCAGUGGGGGAUAUUGCACAAUGGGGGGAACCCUGAUGCAGCGACGCCGCGUGAGUGAUGGAGCGCUUCGGCGCGUAAAGCUCUAUCAGUAGGGAAGAAGAUUGACGGUACCUGACUAGGAAGCCUCGGCUAACUACGUGCCAGCAGCCGCGGUAAUACGGAGGAGGCAAGCGUUAUCCGGAUUUACUGGGUGUAAAGGGGGCGCAGGCGGCAGCGUAAGUCAGGAGUGAAAGCCCGGGGCGCAACCGCGGGACUGCUCUUGAUACUGCGCGGCUUGAGUGCAGGAGGGGUAGGCGGAAUUCCUGGUGUAGCGGUGAAAUGCGUAGAUAUCAGGAGGAACACCGGUGGCGAAGGCGGCUUACUGGACUGUAACUGACGUUGAGGCCCGAAAGCGUGGGGAGCAAACAGGAUUAGAUACCCGAGUAGUC
rnacentral:rRNA from 1 species